AUUUCGAGGAAGUCAUCAAAAGAGCAUCCAGAAGAUGUAUCUAAGCAAGACACCGACAUCAAUAAACAAUGUGUUUUAGACUACAUAAACGAAUUUAUCACAAACGAGGUUUAUUUGGAAGGUCAACACCCUAUGCCACCAAUUGAUGAGCGUUGGUUGAGAUGUGCAACCAUAACUGCAUCAGAUUGGCUUACGCCAUAUCAGGAUCGUAUACGUCAAUUUAGAUAUGAAGCUGGUGUAAUAGACCCUUAUGAUAAUGACCCUAUAUUUAUUGAGUAGUUUUGUGAAGCAUCAUAUUGGUGACAUUAAUAAGGAAGUCACAAGGCAAAUAAAACCUUUUCUCUAUUCAAAAGCUUAACUUUGUUA